GGAGGGCUGGCCGAGCGGCCGAAGGCGGCAGUCUUGAAAACUGCUGGGCGGGCGACCGUCCCGUGGGUUCGAAUCCCACGCCCUCCG
rnacentral:tRNA from 1 species